GAUGAACGCUGGCGGCGUGCCUAAUACAUGCAAGUCGAGCGAACGGACGCGACGCUUGCUUCUCUGAUGUUAGCGACGGACGGGUAAGUAACACGUGGUUAACCUACCUCUAAGACUUAGAUAACUGCGAGAAACCGUAGCUCCUACCGGGUACUAUUUUGAGCCGCAUGGUUCAAAAGUGAAUGACGUUCUUGAUGUCACCUCUAGCUAGAUCCUCGCUGCAUUAGCUAUUUGGUAACGUAACGGCUUACCAAGGCAACGAUGCAUAGCCGACCUGAGAGCGUGUACGGCGACACUGGAACUGGGACACGGCCCAGAGUCCUACGGGCGGCAGCAGUAGCGAAUCUUCCGCAAAGGGCGGAAUCCUGAACGAGCAACGCCGCGUGGGUGAUGAAGGUCCGCGGGUCGUAAAACGCUGUUAUUAGGGAAGACUACAUGCGUAAGUAACUGAGCACAUCUUGACGGUACCUAGUCAGAAAGCCACGGCUAACUACGUG
rnacentral:rRNA from 1 species